rnacentral:tRNA from 1 species
GGGCGCAUAGCUCAGGUGGUUAGAGCGCUACCCUGACACGGUAGAGGCCCCAGGUUCGACUCCUGGUGCGCCCA